rnacentral:lncRNA from 1 species
GUUGGAAAAUAUUUAGUUUCCUAGUUUGUUAUUUCUAGGAGAUUCUAAGCUUAUAUAUUAUUUCCUUUUAUGUUUGUACUCUUCCUAUUUAAACCAGCCUUGAGCUGAGGAAUAACACAAAAAACAAUAUUCACUUAUUAUUUUCUACAUGGUAUCGAGAGCUCCCGAUUUUGGGGGUCUCGCUUCCGCAAAACCCUAGCCGCCGUCGUGUUUACAAUCUGACCACGACAACUGAUUUUGUGUGCGGUACUGUUCAUUCGCUGGCACUGUUCAUACG